GAUGAACGCUGGCGGCGUGCCUAAUACAUGCAAGUCGAGCGAACAGACGAGGAGCUUGCUCCUCUGACGUUAGCGGCGGACGGGUGAGUAACACGUGGAUAACCUACCUAUAAGACUGGGAUAACUUCGGGAAACCGGAGCUAAUACCGGAUAAUAUAUUGAACCGCAUGGUUCAAUAGUGAAAGACGGUUUUGCUGUCACUUAUAGAUGGAUCCGCGCCGCAUUAGCUAGUUGGUAAGGUAACGGCUUACCAAGGCAACGAUGCGUAGCCGACCUGAGAGGGUGGUCGGCCACACUAGAACUGAGACACGGUCCAGACUCCUACGGGAGGCAGCAGUAGGGAAUCUUCCGCAAUGGGCGAAAGCCUGACGGAGCAACGCCGCGUGAGUGAUGAAGGUCUUCGGAUCGUAAAACUCUGUUAUUAGGGAAGAACAAAUGUGUAAGUAACUAUGCACGUCGUGACGGUACCUAAUCAGAAAGCCACGGCUAACUACGUG
rnacentral:rRNA from 1 species